ACUCCUGCGGGAGGCAGCAGUGGGGAAUUUUGGACAAUGGGCGCAAGCCUGAUCCAGCCAUGCCGCGUGCGGGAAGAAGGCCUUCGGGUUGUAAACCGCUUUUGUCAGGGAAGAAAAGGUUCUGGCUAAUACCUGGGACUCAUGACGGUACCUGAAGAAUAAGCACCGGCUAACUACGUGCCAGCAGCCGCGGUAAUACGUAGGGUGCAAGCGUUAAUCGGAAUUACUGGGCGUAAAGCGUGCGCAGGCGGUUAUGCAAGACAGAGGUGAAAUCCCCGGGCUCAACCUGGGAACUGCCUUUGUGACCGCAUGGCUAGAGUACGGUAGAGGGGGAUGGAAUUCCGCGUGUAGCAGUGAAAUGCGUAGAUAUGCGGAGGAACACCGAUGGCGAAGGCAAUCCCCUGGACCUGUACUGACGCUCAUGCACGAAAGCGUGGGGAGCAAACAGGAUUAGAAACCCCUGUAGUCCCAU
rnacentral:rRNA from 1 species